CCUAAGCCCUCAAAGGUAAAUUCAUAAUUAAAUACGGACUUAGAAGAAAAACAAUGCAAUAAUUCUGCUGGCACUGUACAGCCGGAACUGCGUUCACUAAAACGGGGAUAUCUGGAGCUACAGAUAUCGGAUCGACGCGAAACCACUUGGAGAAUUUUCUAGACUUGAAGGGCUACAACUAUCAUGAAGGAAGUUUUCCCAAAUGAAGUCGUUAAGACCCUCUAAAAAUUCACACAAGUUGACAGUUCUAAUCUGCCAGUUAUCAAACAUAGCCAAAAACUUCAAUUUUAUUCAAACUUCCACAAAAUUUGUUCCAAGUUGAACUUAGGGCCUUACAUUCACUCUCUCACUCACGCUCUCCCUCAACCUCUCGACUCUUUCUCUCUUCCUCUCCAAGACCCAUUUUCUUCUUCUUCUGAUUAUUUUCCCUAAGGUUGCAACACUACCAGCACCUUCUUCUCCUCCUGGUGACAACCACCACCGCCUGGUCACUCUCCUUCCAGAGGCUACACCAUCACCACCGUUCAUGUCCUGAUCUUUCUCUUCUUCUCCUUCCAUGUGCAAACCACCAUGGCAUCACCCAAGCUAGCCACCACCGCCAGCAGCCACGGUGACGCCGCCACCUCCUUCACUCCUGCGAGCACCAUCAUCACCAACAUGAUGAGAAACAACAGAGAACAGAGGAGAAAAAUGAAACCCUAGACGCACCUUCAAAGCCCGAUCUCUGGCGAACCACUGAUUUUUUGGAAAAACCAACCACACCAUGGAACUCCCCUCGCCGUACGCUGCAAAACCCCUAAAGAAAUUUCCAAUUCCAACGACCUUCGCUGGAAGCCGCCGCCAGCCGCCGCCAACCACCGUCUUCUCCGGCAACCUUCGCCGGAGGACUUACUCAGUUCAUAACCGUGAAGCUCUUUCCCUCCUCUGGCCGAAUUGAUGGUCAAUUUUUGUUUUAUUGGUCUCCAGAGGAAGGGGAAGCUACUGCCAAAGAUGAAAGAUGAGUUCAACUCAGCCCCACAGCCUUAGGAAAUUGAGGUAGAAGGAGAAAGAACCCAAUGUGCUUAGUGUAUGUUUUUGUCAAAUGAUAGUCUUAGGUUAUAUGAUUUCUGAUUUGGGGAAAAUAGAAAUUAGGAUUCAAUUUUAGAAAAUGUAUCAUGGUGCUACUGUAAUUGUUAUAGGAAGCUUGUACUUUAGCCCUUUUGUGAUUUAUGAACAUGGAUGAAUUAAAGUACAAUGGUUAGGUUUUCAGAAUGGAAAUUUAGUAGAAUUUACGAACUCUUGAACUCGUUCUUAA